CAAUUGAUACGCAUCCCUGCGAGUAGAGUAUCGGUUUUAAGAAGCUCCACAGUCCAAUCAAUGGUGUGAAUCUUUGCGAUCACAGCUGAAGUCACCAAUCUUGCAUGGCGAUAAAGUUCUUCAUCAUUCAGAUCAGGGGACUGCAGAGUUGAAACACCAGCCCAACUGUUGCGGACGUCACCUGCAACUGCUGUUCCAUUUUCGUUAUGCACAAGGCAAAGUGUAGCAGAAAUCUAACCACCAAGGUGUUCGAAUGUUUAAUGAUCCGGAUUUGAUCUCAUAGAAUCCAGUGGGAACAGUAGGAAUUUCCUUAGUCUUGAAGAAUUUGAAAGAUUUUAGAGGGCAUUGGCUUGAAACUUCUUUUGGUGCAGUGAGUUCAAUCUACAUAUAUGUAUCACAAUUCCGUGAACAGAUUAAAUAUCUUCUUCUGUAUAUCUCAACAAAAAAGCUCAUUAUGUGCAGUUAUCACACAAAUAUAUUUUUUAAUGGACAAAUAUAAAUUGUUUUAUAUUUGACAUUUAAAAGUAAUAUUGAAAUAAGUUUUAGAAAUUGGUUACAGGGUCAUAGA